rnacentral:lncRNA from 1 species
UACGCACAUGAAUGGCCUCUACGAGAAGUACACGCGAAGCUCUAGGUAGAUCAUCUUCCAGGUGAUGUUUUGAUAAAAAAGGUCACCCAAGGAAAAGAAAGAAAAGGACCCGUAAAGGAUCUGUUAGAAACACAAGACACGGGAGUGCUAGCUCGUGCAGGAACGCAGCAAUGGCUAAAGCUUUCUCCUUCUAAACACUCAACAUUUGAUUGUUCUUCAAGGAGAUGGAGGAUGAACGUGAGGAAGAAGGAGAAGAAGGGAUGGAGGCCCUCAGAGAAUUUUUUCAGAAUUUUUUGAAACCUUUAAAUAUGGUAUAUCUUGAACCCAAGGCAUGGGGGUCUUUUAUAGCCAAAAGACCACCCCACGCCUCACACCUAAUUUAGCCAACUAAUUUGGUUGAUAAAAUUCCCAAAAAUUUCUGGUGGUUUGGCA